rnacentral:lncRNA from 10 species
CCUCUCAAGACAUGUGGAGAUUAUGGGAACUACAAUUCAAGAUGAGACUUGGUUGGGGACACAGCCAAACUAUAUAAACAUCUAACAGGGGAAUCCUUGGUUAGAGCUUCUGCAUCUGCUUGCAGAUGGGAGAAGAGAGUGAGAAAGAAAAGUGGCCAAAUUCAAAUACCUGUGGCACGUUCAAGUGGGAAAAUAAAGAAGAAAAAGCCCAUACCACUUCAGUCUUUUUUGAUUAUAUUAAAUAUCCAGGUUUGUGUGACGCAAUCCCAAGUAAUAUUGGUAUCACUGUACUAUGAGCUAUAAGAGAAAUGUUUUAAACUUCCUAUUUUAAGGAAUAGUUUUUUAUUAUAUCAUGGCUUAUAGUUUGGUUAAUUAGCUUGUUUUCAACACAAGGGUUCUAUUCAGUGGUUGCCAGGUGUAUUCCAUGUAAUUUAGAAGAGUUCGCCUCUCUAAAUAAAUGGGUGCUACUGACAAAGACUACUCAACUUGUGAAAGUCCAACUUGCAAGCAUCCUUAAUAUCAUUUCAGGAAAAAAGUCACCUAGCUAAAUUUUUACAUAUAUAACAAUAUAACAAUAAUAACACUUAUUGAAACUGCACUAUAUGACACACCAUGUCAUGAAUGAAGCAUAUGGAUUAUUUUACUUAAGCCUUACAACUGCCAUGAGAAAUACUGUUUUAGUCUUUACUACGACAGUUGGAAAUGUACUUUUUUUUCAAUGUUGGGAACAAACAGAACUUCAACUCUGUAUUCUACUUGAGCCUUUUUCCUUUCUCCACUUAACUCUUCAUUCCACUGUAGCUUAUAGAUACUUCUUUGGAGAGUUACUAUUUGGAGACAAGUUGUAAAAAAAGAAUGUCACUAUUUUUCCUGCUGAGAACAUGCUUUUGGUUUUGCAAGUAAAAAUUCAAAGUUAAUUCCCACAAAGAAAUAAAGAUUAAAAUAAAAGUUAAUGUUGAUGAGCUGGAGAAUGCGACUGGCAGCACAGGCCUAGGGCACCAGAGGGCAGACUGUACAGAGACCUGUGAGAAUGGUCAGAACUCCAUGGAUCAUGAUGGAAUGAUCAGGGACACUAUAAUAGCGUUCAUUUUAUGUAUUAAGCCAGAUUUGCACAACAAUUCCAUUGUAAUACAAAUGUAAUCUUUAGAAGUAAUUUUAAAGCAGCAAAUGUAGAAAUGCCAACUCUCAAGUAAAAGAAAACAAUUUUCCUAAGCCAAAUGUCUUUUGUAAGAGAUUUCAAUGGUCAUUUGAUUUUAGUUUAAAGAUCAUCUGACCUUAUGAUUCACCCGAUUCUUAAAUGCACAUCUCAAAUAUAAUUGUCUUCAUUUGGAGUUAAUGUAUAAAAAAUAAAAACAGUGAAAUAAC